rnacentral:rRNA from 1 species
GACGAACGCUGGCGGCGCGCCUAAAACAUGCAAGUCGAACGAGAAGCCCGGGCUUGCCCGGGUGGACAGUGGCGAACGGGUGAGUAACACGUGAGGAACCUGCCCCGAAGACCGGGACAACACCGGGAAACCGGUGCUAAUACCGGAUGCCUUCACCGGAUCGCAUGGUCUGGUGAAGAAAUGGAUUCCGCUUCGGGAUGGCCUCGCGGCCUAUCAGCUUGUUGGUGAGGUAACGGCUCACCAAGGCAACGACGGGUAGCUGGUCUGAGAGGAUGUCCAGCCACACUGGGACUGAGACACGGCCCAGACUCCUACGGGAGGCAGCAGUUAGGAAUCUUGCGCAAUGGACGAAAGUCUGACGCAGCGACGCCGCGUGCGGGACGACGGCCUUCGGGUUGUAAACCUCUUUCAGCAGGGAAGAAGCGAAAGUGACGGUACCUGCAGAAGAAGCACCGGCUAACUACGUGCCAGCCGCCGCUGUAAUAC